UGAGAGGCCUUCAAAGGAGCUGCAGGGCUGGAGAAGAGCAGCUCAGAGCACUCUGCCUUGCUCACAUCACCACAACAGCUACAGAGGGAAAACACUCCUGCCAUGGCAUUCCCUUGGCUGCGUCCUCAGCCACUGUGUGAUGGGCAGGAGGAGCAGGAGGUGACACUGGUGAUUUCAAGCCUCUGUGGGGCCAGCUUCCAACAGAUGAGAAUUGCUGAAACUGUGGGGAACCAGGCUCGGCAGUUCAGGGACUGCCUUCUGGCUGGAUGAACCUGCACGUCCUGACUGUGACAAGGAAAUGAAAAAGGAGAACUUGUUCCCCAUCUGUGACACCAAGACAUGUGCUAAUGACUCCAUCCUCUCCUCUUCAGGUCGGGUUUGGCUGCUCUGAGCUUGGCCUGAGCCUUUUCUUCAGCUGAGUACACUGGCCUUUCCUACCACAGAUCCAGCUGCAGGCCCCA